GGCUACACACGUGCUACAAUGGGUAGUACAGAGAGUCGCAAAGCCGCGAGGUGGAGCUAAUCUCAGAAAACUAUUCUUAGUUCGGAUUGUACUCUGCAACUCGAGUACAUGAAGUUGGAAUCGCUAGUAAUCGCGAAUCAGCAAUGUCGCGGUGAAUACGUUCUCGGGUCUUGUACACACCGCCCGUCACACCACGAGAGUUGGUUGCACCUGAAGUAGCAGGCCUAACCGUAAGGAGGGAUGCUCCGAGGGCGUGAUUAGCGAUUGGGGUGAAGUCGUAACAAGGUAUCCGUACGGGAACGU
rnacentral:rRNA from 1 species